GAUGCGUACUUUGUUGACAUCACAUUUGUCUUUAGUUUACUCGUUUGUUUUACGACCUAAUUAUGAAAUGCCGGCGCGUUACAUUUUCAACAUUUGACAUAACCCUGUAUGUUUUGUAGGGACAACCCAGGACGUGUAUUUCUCAGCACCCAGUCAACUGCCAGAAGUGACUCAUACACAGGCCACCAGUGGCACUCAGCUGUACCACUGCACUGCUGCUGAAAUUGCCAGCACCAGCGGCUUUGGAACAGCUGUUUCACAGCAUCUCGGAGACAAUGCCUACGAAAUUAUUGGCCCUGAUGACGAGAGCCCUCAAGGGGCAAACGACAUCUCUGUUGCAGAAGUGAGCCCGAUACCACCUUAAGUUACCAUGACAGAUGACACGGCUGCAAUAGAUACAGAGACUGCCGUGUCUACUGCAGCUGCAACAGUGUACGAGGCAAGCAGCAGCACGUCAGCAUCAGCAGUAGUGUCAGAAGGAACCGAACCAGGCCUGGUAGGGCAACAUGUGUGCUACCACUGUGACUUUUUUUGUAGUGCAUACACCUCAUCUGCUCAACAUACGAAAGCUUUUCACCACGACUGCGAGCCAGUGUUCUUGUGCAGCCAGAGCAAGACUAUGUUUGGUGUUAUAACAUAGUAUAAGCAUCACUUUAAAAUAUUCAAACCUAUUACAGUUGUUGCCUCCCCGACCAGCCCACAUAGGGACAACAAUGUGGAACGCAUGGUGGGACACACCUCUCCCCCAUUAGAAGACAGUAGAGAGACUGUCAGUGUGGUUGCUAGAUUAACUGCUCAUUGUAGCCGACUAGAAGGACAACACAGGUGUCAUAAGAUUGUUGUUGAUGUUGUUGUUAGUGAAGAGGUAAAAAAGAUGUUUGAUGAAG
rnacentral:lncRNA from 1 species